rnacentral:lncRNA from 1 species
UAAGUUUAAAUGCCACGAAACUUAUAUAGAUAGCUUCUUAACACAAAUGUUUACAUUCUUAUAAAGUUUGAGCCAAAAUUUCAUUCGAAAACUCAAGUUAUGGCUCCUAACACGACUUUGAACAAAACCGUUUACUUACUGCCUUUGAUUGGAAUGCGCUGUCUUUAACUCCCUAUAACUCCUUCACAUAAACUCCAAAUGCAAAUUUUCCUUCGCAAAAGAUGUAUGUCUUGAAGUUGCCCUUCCAGCCGCACCUUGCGAUCUCCAAAAGCUUCCGUAAGACUCCUCUUAAACUCAAAAGAGUAACAGUAGGUCUCAAAUUGACACCUUAACUUCAAACGGCUAUAACUUAUUCAUCCUAACUUCAAACCCUAUAAAAUUUGCACAAAAAUUGUA